rnacentral:tRNA from 1 species
CGCCCGGUGGUGUAACGGAAGCACCUCGUUCUGAUAAGGCGACAGCGGUGGUUCGACUCCACCCCCGGCGA